rnacentral:rRNA from 1 species
GGAUGAACGCUGGCGGCGUGCCUAAUACAUGCAAGUCGAGCGAACGGACGAGAAGCUUGCUUCUCUGAUGUUAGCGGCGGACGGGUGAGUAACACGUGGAUAACCUACCUAUAAGACUGGGAUAACUUCGGGAAACCGGAGCUAAUACCGGAUAAUAUUUUGAACCGCAUGGUUCAACAGUGAAAGACGGUCUUGCUGUCACUUAUAGAUGGAUCCGCGCUGCAUUAGCUAGUUGGUAAGGUAACGGCUUACCAAGGCAACGAUGCAUAGCCGACCUGAGAGGGUGAUCGGCCACACUGGAACUGAGACACGGUCCAGACUCCGACGGGAGGCAGCAGUAGGGAAUCUUACGCAAUGGGCGAAAGCCUGACGGAGCAACGCCGCGUGAGUGAUGAAGGUCUUCGGAUCGUAAAACUCUGUUAUUAGGGAAGAACAUAUGUGUAAGUAACUGUGCACAUCUUGACGGUACCUAAACAGAAAGCCACGGCUAACUACGUG